UCUAGUGAUUCUCUACAAAUAUUUUGUUUGAUGUUUGUUUGGAUUUUAGGCCGGCACGAUCAAUCUGCUCCAUGUAGCAAGCUAUUCUACAUGAUAUUAGAGCUACCUCGAGGUUCUGAAGAUUGAUGAUCCAUGUAUUUAUGAUUUUAUAUGAUAUCAGAACUAUAGAUUUUAAGAUUGGUGGCUUGUGUGUUUGUAGCUCUAUAUUGUAUUAGAGCCAUAGGUUUAAAGAGUGAUCGAGUGAUUUACGACUUC
rnacentral:lncRNA from 1 species